rnacentral:rRNA from 1 species
AGAGCGAACGCUGGCGGCAGGCCUAACACAUGCAAGUCGAGCGCCCGUAGCAAUACGGGAGCGGCAGACGGGAUAGUAACACGUGGGAACGCGCCCUUCGGUUCGGAAUAACUCAGGGAAACUUGAGCUAAUACCGGAUACGCCCUUACGGGGAAAGAUUUAUUGCCGAAGGAACGGCCCGCGUCCGAUUAGCUAGUUGGUGAGGUAAUGGCUCACCAAGGCGACGAUCGGUAGCUGGUCUGAGAGGAUGACCAGCAUCACUGGGACUGAGACACGGCCCAGACUCCUACGGGAGGCAGCAGUGGGGAAUAUUGGACAAUGGGCGCAAGCCUGAUCCAGCCAUGCCGCGUGGAUGAUGAAGGCCUUAGGGUUGUAAAGUCCUUUUAACGGGGAAGAUAAUGACGGUACCGUAGAAUAAGCCCCGGCUAACUUCGUGCCAGCAGCCGC